AUGGGUGGCUUUUUUUCAAGUAUUUUUUCCCAGUUUGGAACUCGGGAAAUGAGGAUUUUAAUUUUGGGAUUGGAUGGAGCAGGAAAAACCACAAUUUUGUACAGAUUAUAGGUUAGAGAAGUCGUUACUACUAUUCCUACCAUUAGAUUUAAUGUAGAAAUGGUGACAUACAAAAAUCUUAAAUUCCAAGUAUGGGACUUAGGAGGACAGACAAGUAUCAGGCCAUACUGGAGAUGUUAUUAUUCAAAUACAGAUACAGUUAUUUAUGUAGUUGACAGUCGUGACCGAGACCGAAUUGGCAUUUCCAAAUCAGUGUCUGUUGCCAUGUUGGAGGAAGAAGACCUGAGAAAAACCAUUUUAGUGGUAUUUGCAAAUCAGCAGGAUGUGCAGCAGGCCCUGACUCCCUCAGAGAUGGCAAAUUCCCUUGGGUUACCUGCUUUGAAGGACCGAAAACGGCAGGUCUUCAAAACAUCAGCAACCAAAGGGACUGGCCUUGAUGAGGCGAUGAAAUGCUUGGUUGAAACAUUAAAAAACAGACAGUAACUCAGUCCCUUCAGCUCCUCUGAAAUAAGGGCACAUCACCUACUGCUUUGGAAACAGUCAAGUGUUCUUUACACUACUAAAUGGUAAAAUUAUAAGAUCGUUGGCAUCUACUGAACUGACUGCCACUGUGGCUGUGUUUGUCAUCAAUAUGAAAAAUACGUAUUUGGUUGGAGGGAUAACUCAAUUAAAUCACCUAAACGUGUUGUGUAACGUAAAAUACUCCUUCCUUGCUUUCUUGUGUUAAGGUAUAUAUUCUAUUUGUAUGGAAUUCUUAUUCAAAUAUAGUCCUAUUAAAGAAUGUACUCUUGUU